rnacentral:rRNA from 1 species
GACAGAGGUGCCGAGCGUUAGGCGGAAUCACUGGGCUUAAAGCGUGUGUAGGCGGACUUCUAAGUACCUUGUGAAAUCCCACGGCUCAACCGUGGAACUGCUUGGUAUACUGGUUGUCUUGAGCCACUUAGGGGCUACCGGAACAAACGGUGGAGCGGUGAAAUGCGUAGAUAUCGUUUGGAACGCCAAUGGUGAAAACAGGUAGCUGGGAGUGUGCUGACGCUGAGACACGAAAGCCAGGGGAGCGAACGGG